GUUUGGAAAGGAGUCCCGGAGAGAGAGAUGCUGUUCCAUGAAUGGAUUAACAACCCUAACAAGUCAUCAACACUCCUGGACCAGAGCGGUGGCACUGCAGCAACCUAGAUAAGAACUGGAGACAGUGGAGAGAUGCCUUUUCGGGGACACAAGUGUGAUCAUCAUGCCACGAGGCUACAUCUUCCAGGAUUGUGGUCAGACCCCAGGCAAAGCCCAGGAGCUGAAUGAAAGGGACAGCUGUCUAAGAAGCAGCUUGUGGAGGUCUUAUUAAGUGGCACCUUGGAGCCUCUAUCCUGUGUCCUGC
rnacentral:lncRNA from 1 species